UACGUAGGGUGCGAGCGUUAAUCGGAUUUACUGGGCGUAAAGGGCGCGUAGGCGGCGUGUUAAGUCACUUGUGAAAUCUCUAAGCUUAACUUAGAACGGUCAAGUGAUACUGAUGUGCUAGAGUGCAGAAGGGGCAACCGGAAUUCUUGGUGUAGCGGUGAAAUGCGUAGAUAUCAAGAGGAACACCUGAGGUGAAGACGGGUUGCUGGGCUGACACUGACGCUGAGGCGCGAAAGCUAGGGUAGCAAACGGG
rnacentral:rRNA from 1 species